rnacentral:rRNA from 1 species
UACAGAGGGUGCAAGCGUUGUUCGGAAUUACUGGGCGUAAAGCGCGUGUAGGUGGCGACGUUAGUCGGAUGUGAAAUCCCUCGGCUUAACCGAGGAAGUGCAUUCGAUACUGCGUUGCUUGAGUACUGGAGGGGAUGGCGGAAUUCCCGGUGUAGAGGUGAAAUUCGUAGAUAUCGGGAGGAACACCUGUGGCGAAGGCGGCCAUCUGGACAGUCACUGACACUGAGACGCGAAAGCGUGGGUAGCAAACAGG